rnacentral:rRNA from 1 species
GAUGAACGCUGGCGGCGUGCCUAAUACAUGCAAGUCGAGCGAACAGACGAGGAGCUUGCUCCUCUGACGUUAGCGGCGGACGGGAGAGUAACACGUGGAUAACCUAACUAUACGACUGGGAUACCUUUGGGAAACCGGAGCUACUACCGGAUAAUAUAUUGAACCGCAUGGUUCCAUCGUGAAAGAAGGUUUUGCUGUCGCUUAAAGAUGGCUCCGGGCCGCAUUAGCUAGUUGGUUAGGUAAAGGCUUACCAACGCAACGAUGGGAAGCCGCCCCGAAGGGGAGAUUGGCUAGCCUGGAACUGAGACACGUCCCACACUCCGGGGGUAGGCAACAGUAGGGAAUCUUCCGCGAGGGACGAAUGCCUAACAGUGCAACGCGGCGUGAAUGAUGAAGGACUUCGGACCCGAAAACGCUGUUAGUAGGAAAGAUCAAAUGUUUAAGUAACUAUGAUCGUCUUGACGGUACCUGAUCAGAAAGCCACGGCUAACUCCGUG